AUUUAUAUAUAUGGCAAAGCUUAAAGCUCUAUUCGGAUUAAUCACAUCUGGGUAUCUCUUCAAUUCGUGAUGAACAAAUGAAUUUUCAAGGGUAUGCAACGUGACGAUGGGAUUGAGAUGGGUGACCUAUUCAACAUUGUUGGGUCACUCCGUUUAGACAAGUGGCAGGGUCGGGUGCCCGGGUCGCUGCCGACCCGGUGUGAUACGGUGUCUAUUUGUGCCAACACGUUUCUAUAGUUGAAUCAUCUUGAUAUAAACCCUACCCGUCUGGGUCUGGUCUGGUUCUUACUUUCGUCACAGACUCUAUUAAUUCUGUCACAGGUUAAUAUGAGUUUUUCAAUUGCUGGAAAAGAGGGCAGAACUUGACAUAAUAAAGUUGACUUUUGUACGAUGAGCCUAUGAGUUUUUCAUAUAUUUAUUUUGUUGAUAUGCUGGAUUCUCUUAUGAGCGAUAAAGGAAACUUCUCUAAGGUUCGUUUUUAGGAUGCAUUGAAUAUAGUAGGAUGUUUUACUUCAUACUUCAUAGGAUUAUAAGGAUGCACUGCAAGAGGUGAGACGUUUUGCCUGGGAUGAGAGUAUGAUACCUUCUGUUCUCUUGAUGAAUCUCACACAUGCAAAUUGUAGUAAUCAGUUUUGCUUGACAUCCACUACCAAUUUAUCUGCAAAAUUCACAGAAGAAAUGGCUUCAUCCCGAGAUUCAGCCAUCCAUAUGGCACUUGGCUUGGAGGGCGUUGCGUGCUCUAAGAGGGCUCAGGCGUUGCGUACUCAAGGUCAAACAGUUAAAUGUAAAGCAACCUCCACCUUGAAAUGUAUGCAGACAUUGGCUUGUGCACUGUCUCAGGUUUAGUCGAGGUGUGCUUUCGUAUGUCCGAGGAUAACAUAGUUGUCUAAGAACUCUUUUGAAGGUUAAUAAAGAGCUCAACAACAUUACAUGGGACCGAGCGACCGAGCGAUAUAUUACAAAAGACACCUCAUUAUAUGAGCAAGUUUGUGUUAUACCAGACAUAAUUGCUCACUUUGAUUGAGCUGACACUGACAUGCGGAGGAUGAAAUAGAGAAAUAUCAUGAAACUCAUGAUUGCUGGGGUGCGGAUGAAGCGUUCAACCAUAUUUUUCAGGGGUGCGGUCGGAUUUUUUUUCCUAAAAUAUACAUUAGUUUUUUUUUUCAAGUGGUAUCCCUGUCCACCCACGACUAUGGAUAAGUCCGCCAUGCAUCCCAUAUUCCUUAACAAUGUUGAAAUUUUACUAAAAAUGGUUCAUGUGUCGAUGCUUC